AAACAACAUUAUAGGCAUUUUAAUUUAUUUAAAAAGAUGUGUUUCUUUGUGUGCUUCUUUGAUUCAAUCUGAAUCGUUGAUUCAAAUUAAUCAAAGGCCCAUCUUAGCAAUCCAUACUCAUUUCUAAUAUCCAAUCAUAAAAUAGAAAUUUAAAUAAAUAGUUAAAUAGAAAAUCAGAAAAUAUUAAAAAAUAUCUCUUUCAAUCCAAUUGUCAGGUGUCACGUGGCAAUCUUAUCUUCUUAUGAGUGGUACAUGGCUGGCAAGUGGUCCUCUCACUCCUCUAUCCUCACCAACGGUAACAAUAAGAAAAAAAAUUGGAAAAGAAACAUACUCUCUCUCACCAUUAGUAUACAAAAGACCCACUCACAUGUUAUUAAGGGAGGCGAGAAGCUUUUGAAAGAAAAAAAAACAAUUGAAAAACUCAGUAAAUAAAAAGUAGGAGGAAGUCCUUCUUCUUCCUUGAGAUCUCCCUUCUUCAAUUCACUAUCCACCCGCCGGAAAACUCCAUUGCCGACGAACAUCAACCUCCGAAAACCCACAACCUCAACAAAUUUUCUAUUCGCGUUCCUACCGUUUUCGUCUUUCCAACACACCGCCCUCCGCCUCCGUCCAAACAACACACUUCCGUCAUCACCUCCGAACAACCCCAUUUUUCGGUGACGCCCCUUCUGACCCUCAACCGUGUAAACCUUGCUUCACACACUUAAACCAUAAAAUCCGCCAUGAACAACCUAGAUCUGCGUCAAAAUGGUGUUGUCGACCAUAACGCGUCCUUACUCAUGUUUGAAAAGAUCCGGAUCAAGCACGUUAAAGAAGCCGCCGUUGAAAUUUCAUAUGUGAGUUUUCUUGCGUUUUCGUUUUGCCUGGGCUACUGCAUUUCAAUGAUAAUGCUACUUUUCUUUUCACUGCAAUGUCAUUAUACAGGAUACAAUAUGUUUUAAAUUAUUAUUAUAACGUUAUAUUAGUUUUAGUUAUAAUAGUUUAAGUUUAACUUAUUGUUAUAUUAUAUUAAAAUUUUAGUUUAACUUAUUAUUAUAUUAUAUUAGUAUAACUUGGGCCACAUGUCAAUUAUUGAUUGGUGUUAAUAUGCAGAAAAGAUUAAAUAUGUGUAUAAUUUAAAGAGAUUUGUGGAAAUAUAAUGAUACUUUAUGUUAGAUAGGGACUUGAUUUGGAUGCACGUUUUAAGUGAUAUACCAAAUAUUGUACUAGAUUAGUGAAGAAGAAUAAGAUUCAUUUCUAUUUGUCUUAGUUUCUUUUUCUGUUUGUGUGAUUAUACAAGUCACAUGCCCACAUAGUCCAACUUAUUAAAAUGGAUGAUAUAAUAUAUUGAUUUCAAUUGAUUACUAUUGUAAAUUUUGCUAGUUAUGAGUCUUAUAAAAAUUGUGAAAACAAUGUAAAUAAUGGUGAGUUGUUGUGUUUAAAUUAAUUACAUUUCUUAAUUGGAUUUUUAAAUCCACGGAUCCGGCAAUUUCAUGCCGGUAUAUCGUCAAAUUUCAAUAAAUUAAUAGAAUAUUUCGCCGUGUUUCGAUCUUUACAUACGACAGUUCAACUUUAUUGUCGCUAUGUAUAAACCGGUUUUGAGCACAUAUUCCAUUAAAAAAUCGACAAUGGUCACUUAUACUCUUUAAUUGUAAUUGAAAUUAAUUAUUAAACUUUGACUAGUUAAGUUGUUUUGGAUUAAUUAAUUUUAAUUAACUUAAUUAUUUGAUUUAAUUCAAUAAUUUUGAUAAUUAAUUUUAAUUAGUUUAAUUAAUCAAUUUAACCAAACUUUAAUCGAUUAAUUUUGUCAAUUAUGCAUUGAUAGAUUUCUUCCACUAGUACUUCACAUCAUUUCAAAACCAUUUCAUCAUUGAGUCAAAACUAUUUUAAAACCACUAAAAUCACACAAUUCUUGAUUUAAUAUCGAGUCCAUUUUCAAACACCCUUGUAAACAUUUCAAAACCAUUUCAUCAUUGAGUCAAAACUAUUUUAAAACCACUAAAAUCACACAAUUCUUGAUUUAAUAUCGAGUCCAUUUUCAAACACCCUUGUAAGUCGAUCGCUUUUAAAGCAUCGCCAGCAACCUCACAUAGCUUACUCUUGGGCUUUCUUACAAUGAGACCUAUUCAAUUUUUAUCGAGUUGAAGAACAAUACACUAAAAUAAAAUUCACUUCAUUCAAAACACAAAUUUAAAACCUCGAUCCAAUGUUGAGUAUUUCUAUCCAAAUCAAAUUAAAAUACUCAAUCACAAUCAAACACCCUUUCAUUUGGAAAUGAAAAGGGGGAUGGCUUUGAGUUUUCAAUUCCUCUCCUAAAUUAUUUGAAUACGAGUUCUCUUACUCGGUUAGUCAAAUAGUCGUCAUUUCCAUCCACCUAAGCACAAACAAAUCAAAUUAUUUCAUAAUAACAAAACGAAAAGGGAGAUGACUUUGAGUCUUCAAUUUUUCUCCUCGAUUAUUUGAAUACAAGUUCUCUUACUUGGUUAGUCAAAUAAUUGUCGUUCCUCUACAAAUUUCCGAACAAUUUGAAUACAAGUUCUCUUACUUGGUUAGUCAAAUAAUUGUCGUUCCUCUACAAAUUUCCGAACCCCGAUUAAAUCAAAAUAUUUUCACAGUAAGCUAAAUGAAAAGGGAGUUGAUUUUGAGUUUUUGACUUCUCUCCUCAAUUGUUUGAAUACGAGUUUUCUUACUCAGUCAGUCGAACAAUUGUCAUUUUUCCACCAACUUACAACUUUAUCAAAUCAUUUUCACAACGAACUAUACAAAAAGGGAGAUGGUUUUGAGCUUUCAACUACUCUUCUCAAAUGCUUGGAUAUGAGUUGUCUUACUCAGUUAUUCAAGUACUUGUCGUUCAUUUUAAAAAUACAUCUACCAUAUACAACCUUAUUUUCAUAAAUAUUCAGAUGAAACAGAAAGCAGUCUAGAGUCUUCUAUUCCUCUUCCCGAUUAUUAGGAUACGAGUUAUCUUACUCGAUUAUCCGAGUAUUCGUCAUCCAUUCAAAAAUACCUUAAUUAUUAUCAACUCCUUUAUAUAAUUAAGGAUGAAAAAGAAAGUGGUCUAGAGUCUUCUAUUCCCUUUCCCGACUGUUAGGAUACGAGUUGUCUUACUCGAAUAUCCGAGUAAUCGUCAUCCAAAAAAAUGUCUCAACACAUCAAAUAUAUAUCUUUCGUGCCCCCGUGCGAUCAAAACAUCUUAACCAAUCAAAACAUCCAACACAUUAAUUCAACUUGUCACCUCCGUGUGAUCAAAACUCUUUUCAAAAGAAUACUAUUUAAUCCUUUUUGAUGCGCACAACAAACUAAUGCUUAAGCCUCCGCCGAGAGUAGACAAGCCAACGUUUAGCCUUUAGGAUGCGAUCUAAACAGUUGUUCAUUAAAAAACACCAACCAACUGUAGUUCCCCGAACUACGAAUGCUCUGAUUUCCUUAUUACACCAUAAGGAUACGUAGGCAAGAGAUGGUUGUAUCUUCGCGAGCACACUAAUAAAAAACCUCCCCUUUCCCCUUUUAUGAGGUUCUCAUCAAUUUCUAUUUUUAUAACCCAAAGAUAACAAACAAACAUAAAUUAACACUCGAAACACAAAUUAGAACUAAAAGAUACCCGUUGAGUACAACGGACGUAAGGGGUGUUAAUACCUUCCCCUUACGUAAUCCACUCCCGAACCCAAAUAUGGUUGCGAUGACCAUUAUUCUAUUUCCUAAAGGUUUUAUUGAUAUUUUCCUAUCCCUUCAUUGGGAUAAAUAAAGUUCGGUGGCGACUCUGUUCGAACGUAAAUAUUUUCCACGACCAUCGCGAGGAAUCGUAUUUUUCGAGAUGCGACAGAUGGCGACUCUGCUGGGGACUAGCUCCAAGCAAAAGAGAGUGAAGCCUAAUUUAGUUCAGUUUUUGUAUUGUGUGUUAAUCUUGUUUGUUUGUUUUGUUAUUAUUAUUCUGCCAUAAAAUUAUUGUUUUGUAAUUUAUUGGCUAUGUAUUAUUGGGGUUCUCUGUUAGUGGUGCUUUGUGAGAUAGACUCUCUAUCCGAGUCUGAGAGAAACCAUAAGUUUAAGUUGGUGGUUGCGUAGUGGACACCCACAAGGAGUCUUCCUUGUUGGGAAGAAACGAAGACCCCGCCUAGAGGAGAUUCUCUUAAUAUAUUAUUGUCCGACGAGUCUUCGUCACGACGAUAGUAUUCUCAAGUUGGAUCAAUGACUAUAAGGACCUUUUAACCCACCAUAUCCGGCGGUUAUGUAGUAUUAACCUACGAAGUUUCAGACUUGUUGGGUUAAUACGAAAGCCCCAAUCAGAUGAGAUCCCUUGGACGUAUUACUAUCUUACAGUAAUAUUUCCAACCUCGAUCUAUGACUUCUGAGAAACCUUGUUAGAACCCUGGACUCGAGAGUCGUGCAGUAGAGUCCCCAUGGAUUUUUCCAUGUUGGGACAAUACGAAGACCUCACCUAGACGAGAUCUUCUUAAGCAUAUUAUUGUCCGACGAGUCUUCGUCACGACAGUGAUGUCCUCAAGAAAUAUCCCGACUCUGGGAACCUACCAACUGUAGAGCCUACCAUGGGUUCCAUUAAUACAGAGAUACAUGUCAUUUACCCGUUAUUCUGAUCCAUCUGAAAACACUUUGAACCUGUGAUCCUGAACAUGUCACUACAACUCAUACGCAUAUCAUUGCAUCUGCAAUCGUCAUGCAUUGCAUAUCACCUUUCAUACAAAAUAUAUACAAAAAAACUCAUCCACCCUUCGUCCAUAGCCUGCAGUUGAUUUCCCGAUACUCAUAUCAGACUUGAAGUAGCUCUUGAAAGAUCCUGGAUCCGUUGGAGCAAAGUCAUAUUGCAUUGGGAGGAGAUGUUGACUCAAUAAAAAAUCAGCUAGACCAACUUGUGGAAGCUAUGAUAGUUUCAUCAAAAAAGGAAGACAUCCUCAACACUGGCAAUCGUUGGACUGAUUUGUUUCUAUUUUUACAUUUGUAGUUUCUUUGUUGUUAAAAGCUGCUUGUGUUUAAACAUUGUUGUUUUUAAUGGUAAUAUUGAUGAAGUAAUGAUGCAUGUUUUGAAUUAAUUAUCUCGCAUUCGCUCAUUUCUCUUCUCUUAUAUCAAAAACAAAAAUACAUCAGUGUUUCUCCCAUUCACUUUUCUUUAUCAUAACCUUUGUUUUAGCAAAUAUUUGAGGGAGGAUGACGAAAACAAGAUACCCACAACUGCUGACUAUAUGCUUUCGGAUAAAAUCCUAUUGAUGAUGUACAGGCAUUGUUUCAAAUUCCCAAACACUGGAGAGAUAAGGAGUUAAUCCCUAGUCAAACACUUCGAGCCUAGAAGUAGGUGUUUCUUUCGGAUAUACAAACCCUUAUGUUUAACCCGGGGCAAGGUAGUGUUCAUUUAAUCUGACUAUGCAUUCAAAUUACAAGAUGAAAUAUCCAGUAUGUGGAUCAACUACAUGUCAUUCUUCGCACACAUCCUAAAGUGUCGAAGGAACCUUGAAAAAUCAAAAAGUUAUCACGGUUGUUCUUCAAUGACCAAUGACUUGGCAGUCACAUUCUAAAAAAGGGAAUCAAUAAAAAAGUCCGCUAAGUCGAUACCCCAAAAGGAGACUUAGGCAAAAACCGGGGCAAUCCCGAUGGACUAAAGCUUUAAAAAGCGGUCCAUGCAAAAGUUAGGGAUCAAAACAAAAAUCAAAGGAGGUCACGAAAAACCUCAACAAAAUAAAAACAAGAUUUAGUGACCACCAUAUCAAGAAUCAAAGGGUCACCAAUAUCCAUGAAGAGUAAAAUGAAGCGACUGUCAUUUCAAAAAGAUCUUACACUGCUGAGAUCUGCGUAAGAGUAAGUGUGUGUCAAUAAUUGAACGUAGGAUUGGAGAUCAUCAUGAAGAAGGGGUGGGUUCAAAUAAACUUUGAGCCUUAUAUCCUUUUGUUUCAACAACCAUGAACCAAGCCACGUUACAACCCUCAAAAGACCUAAUUGAAGUAGGGUUUAUUCUGAAAGCAUACUACAACAAGGUUGCGUAAACUGACUCCUAAAGAUUUGUUAAUCUUCAACAUCGAUGUCAUUAUUCUCGCUGUGUCUUUCACACUUUAAAUUGCUAAAUCAGCAUUACAUUUGGACUCAUGGUCCACUCGUCACACAUUAUCACAUCAUUUCAAUAAUAAUUCUUUUCAAAACCUGCAUGAGUAUCGCAUUAAAUUUACCAUUUCUGAAUAAACAUUUUUAACUACAAGUCAGUACUUGACGUCAGGGAAAUUUCAACAAAGGGCAAUCAGGAAGCUUGACCAUUUAUCAGAAUCAAGACUACCUCGAACCUAUGAAUAUGGGGCAUGCCACCUAAACAUCAGUUGAUCAUAGGAAGAUUACUCCAAGAAUUGGCCAGUCUUAAACAAUCUCCAAACAUCUGUUAAUCAGGGGCAAGUCAUUUCAAGAAUCAUUUGAUCCAGAGUAAAUCAUAUCAGAAUUCUAUUAACUGGGGAAGAUCACCUAGAGGUUAGGUUGUCCAGGGGCAAACCCCUUCAAUAUUCAGUCAAGGUGAGUUAAGUCGCUUCAACGCUCAUACUGGGGCAAGCUACCUCAAAAGUAUAGAAAAGUAAACCACUCCGAGAGUCGGUUAAUCAAGGAAAAAUAUUUUCAUGACUUUAAAUUUUGGGGCAAGCCAUCUCCAAAUUAUGGUACAAUUACUUUCGAAAUCCUUUCGAGGUAAACAUCCGCAAAGACCCAACAAACUGGGGCAAGAUGAGCCACACAGGAGCGAGUCCUCUCCAUGUUUUCAAGCAGUUCAACCAAAAGCUUUUUUGCAAGUCAGCAAAUGCAGAGUUCAAGAUGAGUGUCGGGGAAUCAUGCUACCACCCCAUAAAAUAACCUUUUGACAGACAGAAGCCUUUCUGGAAAGAACCUUAUCUUCCAAUACCCACGCAUGGGUAUUUUGGAAACCUGCAAAUCAUUGCAUAAAUCAUCCUCAUGCAUUAGUCAUGUCGCUUUGCUCUAACAUAAAACCAUGCAUAUCAUAAAAUUCAUCGGGUCUAACCCCAUAACAUGAACCUGUCAUCAAAAAGCCUUAAAACACAAAAUAUGACACCAAAGCCCAUCAUCGCUUGGCCAUUUCAAAGUCCAGUUCCCGUCUGGCAAUUUAUUUCAAAAGCCCAGUUCCCAUCUGGCAAUUUAUUUCAAAGUCCAGUUCUCGCCUGGCAAUUUAUUUCAAAAGCCCAGUUCCCGUCUGGAAAUUUAUUUCAAAGUCCAGUUCUCCUCUGGCAAUUUACUACAAAGACCAGUUCUCGUCUGGUAAUUUAUUUCGAAGUCCAAUUCCCGUUUGGCAAUUUACUGCAAAGUCCAGUUCCCGUAUGACAAUCUAUUUCAAAGACCAGUUCUCGUCUGGAAAUUUAUUUCGAAGUCCAAUUCCCGUUUGGUAAUUUAAUGCAAAGUCCAGUUCCCGUUUGGGAAUUUAUUUCAAAGCCCAGUUCCCGUCUGGCAAUUUAUUUCAAAGCCCAGUUCCCGUCUGGCAAUUUAUUUCAAAGUCCAGUUCGCGUCUGGAAAACUAUAUUAAAAAUCAGUUCUUGCAUGAAAAAUCAUUUGCCAAAUACCAAUUCUCGUCUGGUAAAUUAUCUCUUAAUACCAGUUCUCGUCUGGUAGGUCGCCUAUUUCGAUACCAGUUCUCGCCUGGUAGUCAAUUAUUUUCACCAGUUCUCGUCUAGUAGCCUACUUUAAAAAAUUAGUUCCUGUUUGACAAACAAAAACAAAUUCAAUCCCGUCUGAAAUUUCAAUUAUUUUCACCAGUUCGCGUCUGGUAACAUAUCCUUCAAGUGUUGUCCUCAUUUUGCAGUUCAAUCUUCUUCACCAGUUCUUAUCUGGCAGUUCCCAUUUAAAGUUCAACCUCAUUGGCAGUCAAGAAUAAAACCCUACAAAAACAUCCAAUUACCCAGUUGCAUUCCCACAUGCUUCACAUGCAUCAUUUCAUGCAUAAUUUUCCUGCCAAACAGGAAGAUUCAUCAAACACACAACCUCAUUGGCAGUCAAGAAUAAAACCCUACAAAAACAUCCAAUUACCCAGUUGCAUUCCCACAUGCUUCACAUGCAUCAUUUCAUGCAUAAUUUUCCUGCCAAACAGGAAGAUUCAUCAAACACAAUCAUAUCAAUCAUCAGCAUACUUAUGCAUAACCUUAUACAAAAUCAAAAACCAGUUACAUUCCCAUACACAUCCUAAAUAUCCCCAGCAGUUGCAUACGUGCAUACAUCUCAUGCAUCAUCCCCUGCAUGGUAUUCCCACCUAAAAUGGAACACCAUACAAAAGUCAAAUAUAAAAUCUCAGGAUCCAAGGUCAUUCACGUAUAUCUUAGACAUUCCUCAUUUCCAAAUAAAGUUAUUUCCCUGCAUGUGCUCGUGGAAGUAUUUCUCAGCUAACCGUUUUUCAACUUUAGGAUUAAUAAUGAUAUUCCCAGCAUUUUCUUUGCUAUCAUUGCUCCCCAAGCAGAGGUUACCCUAAAAAGUCUCUUCUGAGCUUUUCCCCUGCAGAGCAUUUCAAGUAAAUCUCCCUCAAAGGGAGUCUUUUCUUAAAAUUCCCACAACGGACGAACAGUCGAGAUACUGCUUCAUUUAUCUGAAGAAUCUCAUUUAUUUGUUUGAGAUACUGUUUCAUUUAUCUGAAGAAUCUCAUUUAUAUGUUUGAGAUACUAGUCUAAGUAUCCUCGGAGAGUCUUAGAUUCAAUUAAGAUAUUUUUUUGCUGGAACAUCUUAAUUCUAUCAUAUAAGAUGCUACUUUGACCCGAUACAGAGAAUAUCAUUUUUACUGUUUGAGAUGCUGCUUCAUCAAUAUGAAGAGUCUCAUUUCAGAUUUUUCUAGAGAUACUGCUCUAAUAUCCUGGGAGAGUCUUAGAUUCAAUUAAGAUAUUUUUUUGCUGGAACAUCCUAAUUCUAUCAUAUAAGAUGCUGCUUCGACAUGAUACAGAGAAUCUCAUUUUUACUGUUUGAGAUACUGCUUCAUCAAUAUGAAGAGUCUCAUUUCAGAUUUUUUAGAGGUACUGCUCAUUCAUAGGAGCCUCUCAGAAUCUAAGUUAAUUCCAUAGAAUCCCUUGUUGGAAUAUCUUAAUUCUAUCAUAUAAGAUGCUGCUUCGACUCGAUACAGAGAAUCUCAUUUUUACUGUUUGAGAUACUUCUUCGUCAAUAUGAAGAGUCUUAUUUCAGAUUUUUUAGAGGUACUGCUCUAAGUAUCCUCGGAGAGUCUUAGAUUCAAUUAAGGUAUCUUUCCCUUGUUGGAAUAUCUUAAUUUUCUCAUAUAAGAUGUUGCUUCGACUCGAUACAAAGAAUCUCAUUUUUACUGUUUGAGAUACUGCUUCGUCAAUAUGAAGAGUCUCAUUUCAGAUUUUUUAGAGGUACUUCUCUAAGUAUCCUCGGAGAGUCUUAGAUUCAAUUAAGGUAUCUUUCCCUUGUUGGAAUAUCUUAAUUCUAUCAUAUAAGAUGUUGCUUCGACUUAAUACAGAGAAUCUCAUUUUUACUGUUUGAGAUACUGCUUCAUCAAUAUGAAGAGUCUCAUUUCAGAUAUUUUAGAGGUACUGCUCUAAGUAUCCUCGGAGAGUCUUAGAUUCAAUUAAGGUAUCUUUCCCUUGUUGGAAUAUCUUAAUUCUAUCAUAUAAGAUGCUGCUUCGACUCGAUACAGAGAAUCUCAUUUUUACUGUUUGAGAUACUGCUUCAUCAAUAUGAAGAGUCUCAUUUCAGAUUUUUUAGAGGUACUGCUCUAAGUAUCCUCGGAGAGUCUUAGAUUCAAUUAAGGUAUCUUUCCCUUGUUGGAAUAUCUUAAUUCUAUCAUAUAAGAUGCUGCUUCGACUCGAUACAGAGAAUCUCAUUUUUACUGUUUGAGAUACUGCUUCGUCAAUAUGAAGAGUUUCAUUUCAGAUUUUUUAGAGGUACUGCUCUAAGUAUCCUCGGAGAGUCUUAGAUUCAAUUAAGGUAUCUUUCCCUUGUUGGAAUAUCUUAAAUCUAUCAUAUAAGAUGCCGCUUCGACUCGAUACAGAGAAUCUCAUUUUUACUGUUUGAGAUACUGCUUCGUCAAUAUGAAGAGUCUCAUUUCAGAUUUUUUAGAGGUACUGCUCUAAGUAUCCUCGGAGAGUCUUAGAUUUAAUUAAGGUAUCAUUCCCCUUGUUCGGAAUAUCUUAAUUCUAUCAUAUAAGAUGCUGCUUCGACUCGAUACAGAGAAUCUCUUUUUUACUGUUUGAGAUACUGCUUCGUCAAUAUGAAGAGUCUCAUUUCAGAUUUUUUAGAGGUACUGCUCUAAGUAUCCUCGAAGAGUCUUAGAUUCAAUUAAGGUAUCAUUCCCCUUGUUCGGAAUAUCUUAAUUCUAUCAUAUAAGAUGCUGCUUCGACUCGAUACAGAGAAUCUCAUUUUUACUGUUUCAGAUACUGCUUCGUCAAUAUGAAGAGUCUCAUCUCAGAUUUUUUAGAGGUACUGCUCUAAGUAUCCUCGGAGAGUCUUAGAUUCAAUUAAGGUAUCUUUCCCUUGUUGGAAUAUCUUAAUUCUAUCAUAUAAGAUGAUGUUUCGACUCGAUACAGAGAAUCUCACUUUUACUGUUGAGACGCUGCUGCAUCAAUAUGAAGAGUCUCAAGCCAGGUUUUCUUGAUACUGCUCUAGCAUCCUGGAAAAGUCUUGAGAUUUAGCUAGGGAUGUCACUCCAUUACUAACAUAUCUCGACUGUAAUGUCCAAGAUAUUGUUCUGAUGACUCCUAGAGAGUCUUGGCUGUCUCAUUUUACCUUUUGAUAACUUUUCUUACUAUAUUUUUCUCUGCAUUUCUUCCUUGCAUUUCAAAAAGACAAAAUUUGGAUCUUUUCGUAUUUAAUUAUCUUCCACUAUGAACGUAUGAAGACUGUUGUCAUUCUUACCUUCUAGUUCAAGAUAAUGAAAUAGGGGCAGCUGCCAUACCCUAAUUUUGUCCGGGCAUAUUUAAUUUUUUGUAAAAUCGAUUUCAUUUUUAAUUUGCAUCAUAUGCACAGCAUGACAUGCAUUCCAUCAUGAAUAAUAACUAAAAUAUCAGUCAGAAUAAAUUUAUUGAAAAUACAGACAAAUUGGUUGAAUCAUUUCCUCAAGUACGGACAAAAUCAGCGGAUAAAAAGUUUCGAAAUUAAAAUUACAUACGCCAGUAUUAUUAAUCUACGGUUCAUGUAGUUUAACCUGGUGUGCUCGUUGUAUUUUUCAGCAGCUGUUUCAGUUACGUUUUGACCCGCCUGACCCUUUUAACCGGUGCAAACUUAUUUCAGAAUUUGAAGAAACGCUGUACUUUUUCAAUAAGUAUAUUUUGCACUGAUCAUUUUCAUGCAUCCGAUUUAAUUUUUCGAGCAAAUUUUUGCCCUACUUUUAUUCAUUUUUAGUCGUUUUAAUUUUGUUCUUUCGUCAAAAUAGUCAGAUUGAAUAAAUAAAAUUAAGGUACAAUAAUAAAAUUAAAAUAGUACUAAUAAAUUUUAGUUGUGAAUUUUAUUUGAUUCAAUUGAUUUAAAUUAUUUUAAAACGAUUAAAUCAUAUAAAAACAACAUUAUAGGCAUUUUAAUUUGUUUAAAAAGAUGUGUUUCUUUGUGUGCUUCUUUGAUUCAAUCUGAAUCGUUGAUUCAAAUUAAUCAAAGGCCCAUGUAAGCAAUCCAUACUCAUUUUUAAUAUCCAAUCAUAAAACAGAAAUUUAAAUAAAUAGUUAAAUAGAAAAUUAGGAAAUAUUAAAAAAUAUCUCUUUCAAUCCAAUUGCCAGGUGCCACGUGGCAAUCUUAUCUUCUUAUGAGUGGUACAUGGCUAGCAAGUGGUCCUCUCACUCCUCUAUCCUCACCAACGGUAACAAUAAGAAAAAAAUUAGAAAAGAAACAUACUCUCUCUCACCACUAGUAUACAAAAGACCCACUCACAUGUUAUCUAAGGGAGGCGAGAAGCUUUUGAAAGAAAAAAAAACAAUUGAAAAACUCAGUAAAUAAAAAGUAGGAGGAAGUCCUUCUUCUUCCUUGAGAUCUCCCUUCUUCAAUUCACUAUCCACCCGCCGGAAAACUCCAUUGCCGACGAACAUCAACCGCCAAAAACCCACAACCUCAACAAAUUUUCUGUUCACGUUCCUACCGUUUUCGUCUUUCCAACACACUGCCCUCCGCCUCCGUCCAAACAACACACUUCCGUCAUCACCUCCGAACAAACCCACUUCUCGGUGACGCCCCUUCCGACCCUCAACCGUGUAAACCUUGCUUCACACACUAAAACCAUAAAAUCCGCCAUGAACAACCUAGAUCUGCGUCAAAAUGGUGUUGUCGACCAUAACGCGUCCUUACUCAUGUUUGAAAAGAUCCGGAUCAAGCACGUUAAAGAAGCCGUCGUUGAAAUUUCAUAUGUGAGUUUUCUUGCGUUUUCGUUUUGCCUGGGCUUCUGCAUUUCAAUGAUAAUGCUACUUUUCUUUUCACUGCAAUGUCAUUAUACAACAUACAAUAUGUUUUAAAUUAUUAUUAUAACGUUAUAUUAGUUUUAGUUAUAAUAGUUUAAGUUUAACUUAUUGUUAUAUUAUAUUAAAAUUUUAGUUU
rnacentral:lncRNA from 1 species